AGUUCAUUUUGCAAGGAGCACAGUGUAAGAAGUCACAUCGGAAUUGCUAGUGCUUAUGCUGCUCUGCCAAUGGGGAAAUUGUUUAGGACACAAGCUUGCCAAGAGUCAUACCCAGGAACGCACCACAGAAUCAAGACUAAAGAGUGUUUAUUUCUCUUAACCCUCUCUACUGUCUCCAUACAAAGCCACUCUGGAGAUCCCACUGUGACCAUAUCAUCAGAUGAUCUGUAUGCCCAACACCGUCUCUGAGUUCCUUUUCUCCUCACUCAUCUUGACCAUUUACAGGCUCUCCUUGUGAGUGCAGUUGCCAUGGCAACGAGAUGAUUGCAAGAGAACAAGAGAGACCAUGCCUGUAAUCAGGAAGUGAGAUGUUUACGAAAAAUUCACAUCCUUCUCCUUUUCAUCUCGCUCUGCUAGAAAGAAGAAACUGGGAUACCAGGUCGAUCAUUCUGGUUCCUGGGCACGGAGUGAGAAGAAAUUCAGACAGCGACUAGUCACCUGACUAGAAACACAGAUUUGUAUCUUUUCUUUGUCCUGAUUAGAUUCUAGUUGACUAGCAGCUGGUUCCUGUUCAGAUGACUCCUGUUCUCCAUUUCCUAGCGUUCCCAAACUCCGUAUGGUCCUACAGCUCAAGUUCCCAAACUCCGUAUGGUCCUACAGCUCAGAUCUCUCAUGUGCUCACUCCAUUUGCCUGACUCUUGCAGACAUGUUUAGGAUGAAGUCCCUGCUCCAUCCUAGCGGUACCCAGCUGAGAUAAUGAUCCACUUACCUGGGUGAGUCAGUAGAGUCUAGGUAGUAAUUAUGGAAAAGGAAGGUGAUAUGUCAAUAGGAACUAUAACGUCUUUGAAUGGGUGCUCGGAUUGGUCACUUGUUUAUUCAUUCAACGAUUUCCUCCAGAGGGCUCACCUUGGAUGUCAGCCUAGUGGCGGUGAUUUUGUCAAGAAUACAGUUCUGGUCAUGGGGCUUCCAGCACCUGGUACUCAGCUCUUAUGUUCUUCUAUAUGUGUUACAGUUAAUGAGUAAUUGUGCACGUGAACUGUUGAUCUUGGCAGGGUGGUGCUGUUACCAAAUGCUCACACACCCUUGUCUGUUUACUGACAGGACACACUUUGUUUUGCAAGUGAUUUGUGUGACCUUGUAUAAUGUGCGCAGAUGUUCCUGAGUGUUCUGAUUAUGUUCUAACCCCCAGGCUGAAGCUCAGCUCCUUGACCACGCCGUGCCUCAUAGAUGACCUCUCUGCAUUUGCCUCAUUCCUUGAACCUUAUUUGUCCUGUCCCCAAGCCAUGCUCUUGGCCUUGUCCCUUCACUCUGCUUCAUUCGCACUCUUCUGGCCAGCUACUCACACCUUCCUGGGAGUCUUCCUGACCCUGCUAGGUGUGGCCAGGGGCCUCACUCCUCUCUUCUACUUCCCAUACAAAUCUUUUAUUAGUCUAUCUUAACCACUGUGCUCAAGUCCCUGGAACAGACAGGGACUGGUCUUUCAUUACUGUGUUCUUGGGGCCAAGCAUGUAACAGGAUCCGAGAGAGAGAGACAGAGACAGAGACAGAGAGAGGGAGAGACAGAGAGAGAGACAGAGAGAGAGAGAGAGAGAGACAGAGACAGAGACAGAGAUAGGAGAGAGGAAAGAGAGAGAGAUUGCCAUGUUUAUAAUUGAAGCCCUAGCUGAGCCCAGGACCUGUGAAAACUCACCUCCAUCUUCCACACACCCGGAAGAGCCCAGACUGCUGGCCCAGGCUCCCACCAAAUCUUUUUUCAAUAGGGUCUAGCUUUCUAUUGACAUAUCAUGUUCUGUCCCCACUCUAGUUACUACCCAUACUCCAUUUUCUCAAACUUUCACUGUUUGAAUACAUGCAAAGUCUUCUGCAUCUCAAAUGAAAGCAAUGCCAUCUGUUCAUGAUGUGGAAAUUCCAGAAGACUUCAGAAAACCAAGCAGGUUUUCCUGCAGAGCAGCCCAGACACACCUCCAUGGCACUCUGCUUGGGAGACAGAAGUGGUUAGGAAUGGGCCAAGGGGUGUAUAGUCAUCUGUGAAUUUGUUUAUAAUAUUUGAUUUCAGAAAUUCUAACUGAGCUCUGCCUUCUACCCUUCUUCAAUCACACACAUGGUAGCCACAGUCUCUAGAAAGUCAUGGUUUAAUCCAUUGUCCCAAAUACCCACCAACACUGUGCCGCCUAUUAUACCUGUUGACAAGCACUUGGGGUUCAUACAGAUCACUAAGAAACAAAGUUCACCAUGAAGAUUAGGCAGAGAGGAACUUAAGCUCAAACCUCGGGAACCAUGGGGGAACCCAAGGCAGUAGCAAGAACAAGCCCAAGACAAUGCUCGUGCAUAACGAAGGUGGGCAUUUAGUCUGUUCACAAGCAAAAGCAGCCGGGGCUCUGCAUUAUUUGCCAGAUGUGCUCUUAGGGUUUUGUCAACUUGACAUAAACCUAGAUAUAUCUGGGAAGAGGGAAACUUAAUUGAGAGAAUGCUUCCAUAGGAGUCACCUGCGGGGGGUUGUAUUGAUUAAUGACUGGUGUGGGAGGGCCUAGCCCACUGUGGGUGGCGCCACCCCUGGGCAGGUGGUGUUGGAUGGCUGAGCAAGCCAGGAGCAGCAAGUCAGUCAACAGCACUCCUCCAGGGCUACCCCCCAGUUCUUAAGUCCAGGUUGCUGCACUAAGCUCCUGCUGUGGCUUGCCUCAAUGACACUUAUAAGCUGUAAAGUGAAAUAAAGUGUUUCCUCCCAAAUAAAA